rnacentral:tRNA from 1 species
GUGCUCUUAAUUCAGUUCGGUAGAACAUGGAUCUCCAAAAUCCGGUGUGGUAGGUUGAAAUCCUACAGAGCGUG